rnacentral:rRNA from 1 species
GGUGAACGCUGGCGGCGUGCUUAAGACAUGCAAGUCGAACGGCAGUCUUCGGACUGUAGUGGCGCACGGGUGAGUAACGCGUAACUGACCUACCCCAAAGUCGCGGAUAACGAUUCGAAAGGAUCGCUAAUACGUGAUGUGCUGUCAGAUUGUGUUCUGCCAGUAAAGAUUGAUUGCUUUGGGAUGGGGUUGCGUUCCAUCAGCUAGUUGGUGGGGUAAAGGCCCACCAAGGCGACGACGGAUAGCCGGCCUGAGAGGGUGGCCGGCCACAGGGGCACUGAGACACGGGUCCCACUCCUACGGGAGGCAGCAGUCAGGAAUCUUCCACAAUGGGCGAAAGCCUGAUGGAGCGACGCCGCGUGAGGGAUGUAGGUCUUCGGAUCGUAAACCUCUGAAUCAGGGACGAAAGACACUUCGGUGGGAUGACGGUACCUGAGUAAUAGCACCGGCUAACUCCGUGCCAGCCGCCGCAGUAAUAC